rnacentral:hammerhead_ribozyme from 1 species
AUCUAGUUAACGAGUCCCAAAUAGGACUAAACGCGCGUCCUGGAU